rnacentral:rRNA from 1 species
AACGAACGCUGGCGGCAUGCCUAACACAUGCAAGUCGAACGAGACCUUCGGGUCUAGUGGCGCACGGGUGCGUAACGCGUGGGAAUCUGCCCUUGGGUUCGGAAUAACUUGCCGAAAGGCGUGCUAAUACCGGAUGAUGACGUAAGUCCAAAGAUUUAUCGCCCAAGGAUGAGCCCGCGUUGGAUUAGCUAGUUGGUGAGGUAAAGGCUCACCAAGGCGACGAUCCAUAGCUGGUCUGAGAGGAUGAUCAGCCACACUGGGACUGAGACACGGCCCAGACUCCUACGGGAGGCAGCAGUGGGGAAUAUUGGACAAUGGGCGAAAGCCUGAUCCAGCAAUGCCGCGUGAGUGAUGAAGGCCUUAGGGUUGUAAAGCUCUUUUACCCGGGAUGAUAAUGACCGUACCGGGAGAAUAAGCUCCGGCUAACUCCGUG